GGGCUCAUAGCUCAGCUGGUUAGAGCGUUGCGUUGACAUCGCAAAGGUCUGAGGUUCAAGUCCUCAUGGGCCCACCA
rnacentral:tRNA from 1 species